UUACGGUCAUAUCACGUUGAAACUUCGGUUCCCGUACGAUCACUGAAGUUAAACAACGCCAAGCCUGAUCUGUAUCGAGAUGGGGGAUUCCAUCAGAAUACCAGGUACU